UUUUUUUUUGGUAGCAACUAUGCGAUUUUUCGAAAUAUUUAUAUAAUAUAUUAUUAUUACGUGUGUAUUAGAAAUUACUAUAGAAACAUCAAUAUUCGUGUUUUUAUUCUUAUUAAAUCUAUAUUAUUUAAUAUACUAUGUGGACAAGCAUUAUUUCAUAGUUGUAAUUCAUCAUACUUAAUUCAAUACUAAAUAAUAAACUAAAAUACUUAUAAUAUUAUCUAAUUAUUAUUAUUACUAUAUACUCUUCAAAAAAAAAAAAAAAUAAUACUAUUUUAUUUUAAUUAUUAUAUUCGACUAUUAUAAUAUAAUUAUUAUACUCGCUUAUUAUUACAUCCGUACCCAGUGGCGUAUUUACCUCACUCUCCAAUCUAUUAUUUUUAAUAUUUUUAUCCGAUCGUAAUAAUAAUAUAAAGAAAGUUAGAUUAGCGCCUAAUUCUUAAAUAGAGUUAUAAUAAAUACUAACACAUGCAUCCACAAUAUAAUAUAAUAUUGUGGGUAUGUAGUUAUCGAUUUCAAUUAAAAUUGUAGAUCAGAUUGAAUCGGUCAUAAAUUAUUUACAAAAGCAUAUAAAUUAAUAUUUCUGGGUGAACAAUUUUCAAAUUAAAUUUCUCCCCCACCCCACUUGAAAAAAUCCUAAAUACGCCACUGUACGUUGGGUACCUAUAACGUAUAAUAAAACCAAAAGAAACAGAAUUCAGAAAAUAACGUAAUUCGCGACAGAAAACUAUAGAUAGGUAUGAAUACCUAAUAAUAAUAUAUAUAUAUACGAGUAUAUAGGUAUUAUAUAUAUAGACAUUUGUCGGUUUUUUUUUUUUUUGCAAUAGUAACCCAAAAUAUUAUCAAACGCAUUUUUUUUUUUUUUAAUUUUCAAAUUAGAGAUUAUCUACGCCAAAAUUAUAUUCGAUUUAUUGCGCAUUAAUGACAUUAUAUUAAUAAUUUAAUAACAAUAUUAGACAUAGCUUGUUUAGGUAAUUCGGAAUAUUCGUUUCCCGUCACAAGAUUUUACGCGGCGAUUUUUUUUUUCGAACUAAUCAAAAUCUCUUGGUACACCUAACCAUAAACAAAAUAAUUUUCAACUGAUAACCAAUAAUAAUAAUAGAUAGGUAUCGUAGCGUAACAAACGAAAACGUACAAAUACAUUUUUUUUUCAACCAGCAUAUUUUUGAUUUAAAAAAACAAAAAUUAAUAAUAAUAUUACAUUUUAACGUCAUCGAAAUAAUUGUAUUGUUUUUCGCACAAAUUACCGAAAUAGCAAAAAGCGACCCCCCCCCCACCCGAAUACAUUUGUAUGUUCUUUUUUUCACGCAAGUCAAGUCGAUAAAAUAUCACGACGUUCAAACGAUUUUCAAUCUUUUUUUUUUUUUUUUUAUCAUUCGAUCGAACGAGGAGUUCCGAAAACGAACGCCUAUAUAUCUGUAUCUGUAUCUGUAUAUAUAUAUAUAUUAUAUUAUACGUAAUCAUUUGAUAUUAUCAUGAUUAUAAUUCGAUAAGAUUUCUGUUUCUUUUUAUUAAUGUAUAAGAAAUUAAUAAGCAUAAUUAUUUUAAAAGACUAUAUACUAUUAUUUUUCAUCGCCUAAUUUAUUAUAACUAUCUUAUAUACAAUAUUAUAUGAAUGUACUAACAGCAUUUAACGUAGGCUUAAAAUAUGGUUUGUGUGUGUACAGUGUACCUGGGAAAUAAGUUGACUGGUUAAAAAAAAAAAUGACCAACUUUGGAAUUUUGAGGUAAAAUAAAAAGAAAGAAAAGAAUAUACUUAUUACCGAUGAAACUUACUCUCGGUUACUAUGAUGAAAAUGUCAUAUCGAAGAACUCGCUCGGUUUUGUUUUAUGAUGUGCCGGUACACUUAUACACGCGCAUUACGCAUAGGUACUCCUUCGUAGUUUUGCUAAUAAUAUAUCUAUAUUAAAAAUAAUAUUAAAUUAAACGAUAUUCAAUUUAUAGAUUACUGAGGAAAAAACCUUUUUAUCGUUUUCAAUUCAACAAUAUUAAAAUAUACUAUAUAUAGGUAUAAUAAGUGUCUUUGAAAAAAAAAAAAAAAAUACUAAUAAUCAAUAAUUGAAUAAUCGAAAAAAAAAAUGUUAAACCAUUUACUCACUUAUACUAUUUUAAAUCAUAAAUAUUAUUAUUAUUAUAAGUAAACAAAAAAAAUAAUAAAAAAUACUCGUUCAAUGACAAAUACAGAAUUUUUUAAACAUUUUUUUUUUUAUCGAUUUUCUUUUUUUGUUUAUCCCUAUAUUCACUAUAAGCAUAUUCUAUUGUUAUGACGAUCAACAUUCGUUUAAUGGUUUUUCUUUCUUUCUUUUUUUCUUUUUCAAUUAUAAAUAUUUUGAAAAUUGAAAUUAUUUAUUUAUUUAUUAAAAAUAUAUGAAAUACUAAUACCACUUAAUUAAUAACCUAUUAAAUAAAAAAUACCUAUAUUAACAAUAGAUAUAUUGAUAGGUCUAAAAACCUAAUCUAUAUUGUAUUAAUAUCUAUCGUCCGUACAUUUAUCGACUUGAUCACCUAUUAUUAUUAUUAUUAUUAUUAUUAUUAUUAUUAUUUGUAUUAUUUUUAUUUUUAUUAUUAUUAUUAUUAUUAUUAUUAUUAUUAUUAUUAUUAUUAUUACUAUUAUUAUUAUUAUUUUUACUAUAUUAUUAUUUAUGUAUUAUUGUAUUUGUAUUCCUAUGUCUUAUAUUCUAAUUCUGUUUCGUUUACUGUAUUUGCUUGAGCGUGUUAAAAAAUACAAAAAAAUUUUAAAA